UCAAAGGCUUCUUUUGAAGCCAUUUAUAGGAGAUGUUUGGAUGAAU
rfam:Fulmarus glacialis contig50735, whole genome shotgun sequence.